GUCCACCUGCAUUGACAUUCUUGCCAUCCAACAAAGCCGACAAUGUCAGUUUGAUACCUGCGUAAAAGAACAAAGAGGGAGAUGGUAAAUCCUGGAAAAGAGAUACCACAUAAAAUAUGCUCCCAGCUACAUCUCCUUUGAACAAUCUAAGAAAACAGGAUUUAUACAAGAGUCGAUAGCUGCUCCUACUACUUGUUUGCCAGGACAGAUUUUGCCAUUUAUAUUCAUAUUAGGUAGCACCUUCCUACACAUGUCCUAGUGAUUUCAGUGGUGCUACUUACACAACGCCAGAUUGGAAUAUCUACUGCUGGUACUACUGAGGAGUACCUUGCUCCACAAGUAACCCUAAUGACUUCAGUGACACCAUGCUCAGAGUAAGGUGAGAAUCACAAUCAAUCGGGACUGUGAGCAAUCCAGGUUUAAUUCAGAACAUGCCCAACAUGGGCUAACCUCUAUAGUCAGUUGCACCAAAAUCCCUCUAACUCCAAGGAUCUGAUUCCAAGCACAGAGUAAGCUUGUCAACAGAGGCCUACUGUAUUACAGGAGAAAAACAAAUCCAUCACAUCAUACAAGACUACAGCAUGCUUAACCGGAAUAAAGGGCCAGGGACUAAGGACAUACCGAGCGCGUGCCCUCGUCUUUCACCUGAGUUCACCUCCUGGAAUUCCAGAGACUAGGUCACAAGUGAAACUGAAUGCGCUGGUCUUAUCCCUGCCCUGAUGUGUGUAUAGAUCAUAAAACUACCACAUGACUCGAUCCCUGCUCAUAGGAGGCCAAGACUUAAAUAGUAGGAAAUAUUGGGAGUCACUGAGGCACUGACAGAGCUACAUGGGGAAACUCCAAACAGACUGCUUGACUCACAGUAGAGCUACUAACGUAAGCACUAAAUUCAGAACUGUAAAGAGAAAAAAUGGGAACCUUCCUUUAGAGUGUGCAGCAGCUUCUACUUAUUGUAGACAACAGGGGCCAAAUUCAGCCCUAGUUAAGAAAAUUCUCCUGAACUCAACAGAGUUCCACCUGGGCUAAAUCUAGCUCUAAAUAUUUCCAAAUAUUGUGAGGUUGGCAAGUUUCCACUGUAGAACACAAUUUUGGGGUCCUGUGUCAGCAGUUACCCAACAACAUGCAAACAACCAUUUAUUUACCUGAGUGUCAUACAAAGUGUCUUUUUUUUAACCCAGUAAUUUUAAAUACAUCUGUUUGCUAGCAGCCUCCCUUCCCAGAGCGAGGCUGAAGCGAUAUAAUUAAUAAUGAAGAUGAUGAUACUACCUAGCUAUUACAUUGAGAUCUUCUGGUGAAGAGAACUAAGUGCUUUACAAAGGAGAUCAGUAUCAUUACCCCCAUUUUCACACAGAUGGGGAAACUGAGGCACGGAGAGGCAAAGUGAUUUACCAAAGAACACUCAGCAGGACAGUGGCAGUUCUGGGAACAGAACCCAGAUCUCCUGAUCCCAGUCCAGCGCUCUAUCCAUCCGUCAACACGCCUCUCCUAGGAUACUGGAACUUUCCCUGCAUAGACUAUUGGCUUUUCCUCUAGUUUUAAUAAUAUUUCUAUGGUGGAAAAUAUACCACAAAUUUAAAAUAAGAAGGAUAAAACCCAGGCAGGACCAAAGUUAGUGGGAGUCUAUGAGUAAGGACGUCUUGAUUUAGACUUCAGUUCAAGCUAAUUUUCACUUAUAAACAAACUUGAACAUAUGCAACAAUUCUUGAAAAUGGUGAUCCCUAUUGAAUUUGAAAGGAUUUCAGUUUACCUCUUCCACAGCGGGGUUCCUUUAGAGCAUCUUAAAGGCAGACUUUGUGCCAUGAUAUAAGCCAACGAUAUGUUCCACUGAACUAUUUGUGCAAACCACAGUGACAUACUAUCACAAAUUAUGAGACAAACGACCAUCUCCCCGCGUAAGAGGGAAGGCAAAUCAAGGACUUAUCUCUUACAGUCCACAAACCUAAGAAAUUUGAUUCAUUUUUAAAAUAGUUGCUAGACAGUUACAACUUGAGACAAUGCUCUGGAUUCUUUGGCCAGGAGAUUUAAUUUACAAAUUAAAAAUAAUUUAAAAAACCCAGGAGAGAUGGUGGAUUUGUAUUACAGAAUUACAAAACCCAUGGUCCUAAAAAUAACAAA